GGACCCGCGCACGGGGGACCCCCGAGCAGCAACGCCGCGCGAGCGAAGAAGGCCUUCGGGCCGUAAGCCCCGUCGGAAGGAAGAAACCCGGCUCUCUACAGUCCGGGAAUGACGGUACCUGACCAAUAAGAACCGGCUAAAUCUUGCCCCAGCCCCGGUAAUAUACAGGGUGUGGCGUUAAUCGGAAUAACUGGGCGUAAAGCGUGCGCAGGCGGUUAUCCGAUACAUGCGAGAAAUCCCCCCCCUUAUCCUGGGAAUGGCUCCUGUGACUGUAUACCUACUUUGUGUCAGAAGAGGAUAGAAUUCCUCCUGUUGUAGUGAAAUGCUUAGAUAUUUGGAGGAAUACCACUGGUGAAGGCAGCCCCCUGGUAUAACACUGCCGCUCCUGCACCA
rnacentral:rRNA from 1 species